GACGAACGCUGGCGGCGUGCCUAAUACAUGCAAGUUGAGCGCUGAAGGUGGUACUUGUACCAACUGGAUGAGCAGCGAACGGGUGAGUAACGCGUGGGGAAUCUGCCUUUGAGCGGGGGACAACAUUUGGAAACGAAUGCUAAUACCGCAUAAAAACUUUAAACACAAGUUUUAAGUUUGAAAGAUGCAAUUGCAUCACUCAAAGAUGAUCCCGCGUUGUAUUAGCUAGUUGGUGAGGUAAAGGCUCACCAAGGCGAUGAUACAUAGCCGACCUGAGAGGGUGAUCGGCCACAUUGGGACUGAGACACGGCCCAAACUCCUACGGGAGGCAGCAGUAGGGAAUCUUCGGCAAUGGACGAAAGUCUGACCGAGCAACGCCGCGUGAGUGAAGAAGGUUUUCGGAUCGUAAAACUCUGUUGGUAGAGAAGAACGUUGGUGAGAGUGGAAAGCUCAACAAGUGACGGUAACUACCCAGAAAGGGACGGCUAACUACGUG
rnacentral:rRNA from 1 species